AUUGAACGCUGGCGGCAGGCUUAACACAUGCAAGUCGAGCGGAGAGAGGUAGCUUGCUACUGAUCUUAGCGGCGGACGGGUGAGUAAUGCUUAGGAAUCUGCCUAUUAGUGGGGGACAACAUUUCGAAAGGAAUGCUAAUACCGCAUACGUCCUACGGGAGAAAGCAGGGGAUCUUCGGACCUUGCGCUAAUAGAUGAGCCUAAGUCGGAUUAGCUAGUUGGUGGGGUAAAGGCCUACCAAGGCGACGAUCUGUAGCGGGUCUGAGAGGAUGAUCCGCCACACUGGGACUGAGACACGGCCCAGACUCCUACGGGAGGCAGCAGUGGGGAAUAUUGGACAAUGGGCGGAAGCCUGAUCCAGCCAUGCCGCGUGUGUGAAGAAGGCCUUAUGGUUGUAAAGCACUUUAAGCGAGGAGGAGGCUACUUUAGUUAAUACCUAGAGAUAGUGGACGUUACUCGCAGAAUAAGCACCGGCUAACUCUGUGCCAGCAGCCGCGGUAACAC
rnacentral:rRNA from 1 species